CAGUCGCCACGGUAAUACGUAGGUGGCAAGCGUUGUCCGGAAUUAUUGGGCGUAAAGGGCUCGCAGGCGGUUUCUUAAGUCUGAUGUGAAAGCCCCCGGCUCAACCGGGGAGGGUCAUUGGAAACUGGGAAACUUGAGUGCAGAAGAGGAGAGUGGAAUUCCACGUGUAGCGGUGAAAUGCGUGGAGAUGUGGAGGAACACCAGUGGCGAAGGCGACUCUCUGGUCUGUAACUGACGCUGAGGAGCGAAAGCGUGGGGAGCGAACAGGAUUAGAUACCCGAGUAGUCCCUGUCUCUUAUAC
rnacentral:rRNA from 1 species